UCCUCGUAGAAAGGUUUUAGCUCUUAAUGUAGGAAAUGAAGAAGAACUUGAUGAUGAUUCUGACGAAGAGAUAGCUAUGAUGUCAAGGAGACUCAAAGGACUUCUACAAAGAAAGAAUAAACGAAAGAAUACAUUCAAAGGCAAAGGAAAGCAAACUGAAGAAACGUGUUUUGAAUGUGGACGUCCAGGGCACUUCAAGAAGGACUGUUUUCAACUAAAGAAUAAAG
rnacentral:lncRNA from 1 species